UACGGAGGGUGCGAGCGUUAAUCGGAAUUACUGGGCGUAAAGCGCACGCAGGCGGUUUGUUAAGCUNGAUGUGAAAGCCCCGGGCUCAACCUGGGAUGGUCAUUUAGAACUGGCAGACUAGAGUCUUGGAGAGGGGAGUGGAAUUCCAGGUGUAGCGGUGAAAUGCGUAGAUAUCUGGAGGAACAUCAGUGGCGAAGGCGACUNCCUGGCCAAAGACUGACGCUCAGGUGCGAAAGUGUGGGGAGCGAACAGG
rnacentral:rRNA from 1 species